rnacentral:rRNA from 1 species
UAGGGAAUCUUCGGCAAUGGGGGGAACCCUGACCGAGCAACGCCGCGUGAGUGAAGAAGGUUUUCGGAUCGUAAAGCUCUGUUGUUAAGGAAGAACGAGUGUGAGAAUGGAAAGUUCAUACUGUGACGGUACUUAACCAGAAAGGGACGGCUAACUACGUGCCAGCAGCCGCGGUAAUACGUAGGUCCCGAGCGUUGUCCGGAUUUAUUGGGCGUAAAGCGAGCGCAGGCGGUUAGAUAAGUCUGAAGUUAAAGGCAGUGGGUCAACCGUUGUAGGCUUUGGAAACUGUUUAACUUGAGUGCGGAAGGGGUAGGUGGAAUUCCAUGUGUAGCGGUGAAAUGCGUAGAUAUCUGGAGGAACACCGGUGGCGAGAGCGGCUUUCUGGUCAGUAACUGACGCUGAGGCUCGAAAGCGUGGGGAGCGAACAGG